rnacentral:lncRNA from 1 species
AUACAAAUACAAAUAUGAGUUACAGUUAUUCAUCCUGAUUUUUUUUUUUUGCUAAAAACUGUUUUUAGAAUUGAAAACUAUUGUUAUUUAGCUAAAGUCACAAAUAAAAGUAUGUUGAAGUCCAGAACUUCAACUUCUCUUUGGUAAAUGGUGGGUGUGAGAGUUCCCAGCUCCUGAGUUCUAGUUCUCCUCGCUGGAGUCUGCCUCACCCCAUCCCCUUCCACUUUUCAGUGCUGGCUACAGGUAGAACAUCAGUGGACCAAUCUAAAUCGGCGGGACUGUUUUCCCUGCUGUCUUUAGGAUGCUUCUUCUCUCUACAGCACAGGUUGUCUUGCAGCCAAGGAGGCAGCUCUGGGUCCUGGUAACUGUGGUAUGACAUGUUCUCAGGAUCCUAUUCUCUAAGGAUUGAGGGGACCUGUCAGGAAGCCCUACUGCUGACUGGCAGCAAGAAGCACACCCCAGGGCGUUGGGGCUCCUGCUUUUCUGGUUUGGGUGGGGUGAUGGGCUGGCCCUGGGCUGAUGCUGACUUUCAUUGCUUUCUGUAUUAUCUGGCUCUCAUUUCCUCCAGAAACAACCCCAGGAAGGGGAAGCUAGCUUUUGGUGAUGAUCUGAUCAGAGAAUCUCUAGGUCUUAGCCCAGUGUGCUUAGACAGCAACGUCCCUUACUGUAGAGCCAUCUCUAAUUUGCAUGUGCACUCACUCUGAGUUGUCAGGUGAAAAACCUAGGGAGGGAGGGACUUAGAGCAUUCUCAUCCGGUGACUAAGUUGUUUUCCAUGUCACAUAGCAGUGGCCUCUCGGUUUCAAAAUCUCUAACCGUAAGAAACAAUGCCUUCAUUUCAUCCACUCAGCCUGUGACACUACCAGUCCCAAUUUUCUGUGAUGAAGUUACCAUGCUUUUGCAUCCGUCCACCAAGCAUUUACCAAAACACUUUCAGAGGAGGACCAAGUAUAACUACCUUGUGCUAACUGAGUACAUCACAGAGUAUAUCAGCUUCUGCCACAAAAAUCAGCAAAUGCUUCAGCUUCUUUUUGUAAUUUUUUUUUUAUAAUUUUAUGUGUGUGGGUGAGUGCCUGAAUGUAUGUCUGUGAACCUUGAGAAUGGUACCCACAGAGGUCAGAAGACCUAUCAGAUCUCCCGGAACUGGAGUUACAGAUGUUUGUGAGGUAUCCUGUGUGUGUUGGGAACUGAACCUGGAUCCUCU